rnacentral:rRNA from 1 species
ACGAACGCUGGCGGCGUGGAUAAGACAUGCAAGUCGAACGAGAGAAUUGCUAGCUUGCUAAUAAUUCUCUAGUGGCGCACGGGUGAGUAACACGUGAGUAACCUGCCCCCGAGAGCGGGAUAGCCCUGGGAAACUGGGAUUAAUACCGCAUAGUAUCGAAAGAUUAAAGCAGCAAUGCGCUUGGGGAUGGGCUCGCGGCCUAUUAGUUAGUUGGUGAGGUAACGGCUCACCAAGGCGAUGACGGGUAGCCGGUCUGAGAGGAUGUCCGGCCACACUGGAACUGAGACACGGUCCAGGCACCUACGGGUGGCAGCAGUCGAGAAUCAUUCACAAUGGGGGAAACCCUGAUGGUGCGACGCCGCGUGGGGGAAUGAAGGUCUUCGGAUUGUAAACCCCUGUCAUGUGGGAGCAAAUUAAAAAGAUAGUACCACAAGAGGAAGAGACGGCUAACUCUGUGCCAGCAGCCGCGGUAAUACAGAGGUCUCAAGCGUUGUUCGGAAUCACUGGGCGUAAAGCGUGCGUAGGCUGUUUCGUAAGUCGUGUGUGAAAGGCGCGGGCUCAACCCGCGGACGGCACAUGAUACUGCGAGACUAGAGUAAUGGAGGGGGAACCGGAAUUCUCGGUGUAGCAGUGAAAUGCGUAGAUAUCGAGAGGAACACUCGUGGCGAAGGCGGGUUCCUGGACAUUAACUGACGCUGAGGCACGAAGGCCAGGGGAGCGAAAGGGAUUAGAUACCCCUGUAGUCCUGGCAGUAAACGGUGCACGCUUGGUGUGCGGGGAAUCGACCCCCUGCGUGCCGGAGCUAACGCGUUAAGCGUGCCGCCUGGGGAGUACGGUCGCAAGAUUAAAACUCAAAGAAAUUGACGGGGACCCGCACAAGCGGUGGAGUAUGUGGCUUAAUUCGAUGCAACGCGAAGAACCUUACCUGGGCUUGACAUGUAAUGAACAACAUGUGAAAGCAUGCGACUCUUCGGAGGCGUUACACAGGUGCUGCAUGGCCGUCGUCAGCUCGUGUCGUGAGAUGUUUGGUUAAGUCCAGCAACGAGCGCAACCCCUGUUGCCAGUUACCAGCACGUGAAGGUGGGGACUCUGGCGAGACUGCCCAGAUCAACUGGGAGGAAGGUGGGGACGACGUCAGGUCAGUAUGGCCCUUAUGCCCAGGGCUGCACACGUACUACAAUGCCCAGUACAGAGGGGGCCGAAGCCGCGAGGCGGAGGAAAUCCUGAAAACUGGGCCCAGUUCGGACUGUAGGCUGCAACCCGCCUACACGAAGCCGGAAUCGCUAGUAAUGGCGCAUCAGCUACGGCGCCGUGAAUACGUUCCCGGGUCUUGUACACACCGCCCGUCACAUCAUGGAAGCCGGUCGCACCCGAAGUAUCUGAAGCCAACCGCAAGGAGGCAGGGUCCUAAGGUGAGACUGGUAACUGGGAUG